rnacentral:lncRNA from 1 species
UUACUUAAAACCCUUUUAUAUCUUCAUUUAGAUUACACCUCAGCCUGCUGGAAAACAUUGAGACAGAAUUGUUUUGAUCAAAAUAUCAAAUGAAAUCCCAUGAGCCUCUGCUAAAUCCAAGGGCUCCCUCAUGACCAGAGUUGUGUGGCAUUAGCAGAUGCUGCAUGAUUGUGGACAUACACAAACUGGUACGUUCAUGCAAACAGUAAGCUUCCUGCUCCAGACCUGGCUUUGCUGCAGCUCCCAGAUGUCUAAACUGGAGUUGUGGACUUCCAACCUGAACAAUGUGUACAAAGAGGCUGCUAAGAGGUGCUAA